CGCCUCUCCCCCUGAUUCCUCUCUGUCUCUUGCACUACAGGGUUGUCGCCGCCAACUCCGAUUGCAGGAAGCUCCGGUGGACUCCCAACCCACUGCUCACCGGCCUGCCCCACUCCGUCUAUGUUCUCCUCCGGUUCUUCGCCCGAGGCCACCACUCCCCUACACGCGCGGCACGCAACAAACCUAGCCGCCACGCAUCGCCGGCGUGGCUCCGGCAGCUCUGCUUUGUCGGCCCACUACCCCUGCAUCACCUCACGCGCGGCAUUCGGCUCGGGCUUACGUUGAUCGAUGUACAUCACUUAUGCAUUACAAUCAGGAGAAAUCGAUCCAUGUAGAAGAAGCCUUAAGAAGAAUGUUUCCAAAUACUAGAAUGAUGCAUGAUGGGUCGCACACAAACUCUUGGCCAGGUGCCUCUCACAUCUUCUCUUGUUUGUACUAUAUUCUUCUUAAACUGUUAACACAAUGAGCAUGUACUUGGUUCAUCCAAGAACGUAAACAUGAAAAGUAUUCCUCUUGUGCACUCUCCUUCCCUGACAUACAGGGCACACUACGGUGGUUGGAUGAUACCAACAGCCAUAAAUAGAUAGCUAAGCAAUCAGAUGGGACGACUAUGCGAGUGUGUCAGGUACGUCAAAUUCACUGAUCUGAAACUAUUGGAUCUUACUAGGAUCCCCUCUUCUCUGUAAUACUCAGGGCCAUCUCCUCUACCUAUUCGGCCAACAGUUUCAGCAUCCAGCAACCAUGGUGACAAAGCUGAGCAUACUGGAACUGCUCUAAGUUUCCACGUUCUCGGCUACAGAGACUCGAUUGUUCCAAGUCGAUGUUGUUGGCGCUAAAACAUAGAAGACUACUGUGCCAAGCUGGAUUUACUAGGAGAUAGAUUCAAAUAUUCGAUGGUGCAUAUCUCAGAUGUUGGUUGCAAGGUCAAGAAUAGGGGUGCUACUAGAUAGUUUCACAUUGUGUCUUAGAAUGCCAUUUCCAGUUCCAAUGUUUCAAUCAUUAUGUAUCUGAUAUUUUUGGUAUCAAUGUUAGAUCAUUAUGUUUCAGAAUGGCUGACACGGAGGUUGCAAGGUCAAGAAUGGGAUUACUACUAGUUUCACAUCUUGUAAUCUUUGUAUGGUGUACUUUGUAAUGCAACCAAGUUGAUUUAAUAUAUGA